UACGAGAGGCCCAAACGUUAUUCGGAAUUACUGGGCUUAAAGAGUUCGUAGGCGGCAUUGCAAGUAGGGUGUGAAAGCCCUCGGCUCAACCGAGGAAUUGCGCUCUAAACUGCAGUGCUUGAGGAACCUAGAGGUGAGCAGAACAGAUGGUGGAGCGGUGAAAUGCGUAGAUAUCGUAAGGAACGCCAGUGGCGAAAGCGAGUCUCUGGGCAGCAUCUGACACUGAGGCACGAAGGCCAGGGGAGCAAACGGG
rnacentral:rRNA from 1 species